GUAGGUGGCAAGCGUUGUCCGGAAUUAUUGGGGCGGUAAAGCGCGCGCAGGCGGUUCGUUUAAGUCUGAUGUGAAAGCCCACGGCUCAACCGUGGGAGGGGUCAUUGGGAAACUGGAGAACUUGAGUACAGAAGAGGAAAGCGGAAUUCCCACGUGUAGCGGUGAAAUGCGUAGAGAUGUGGAGGAACACCAGUGGCGAAGGCGGCUUUCUGGUCUGUAACUGACGCUGAGGCGCGAAAGCGUGGGGAGCAAACAGGAUUAGAUACCCUGGUAGUCCACGCCGUAAACGAUGAGUGCUAAGUGUUAGGGGGUUUCCGCCCCUUAGUGCUGCAGCUAACGCAUUAAGCACUCCGCCUGGGGAGUACGGCCGCAAAGGCUG
rnacentral:rRNA from 1 species